rnacentral:rRNA from 1 species
CCUACGGGAGGCAGCAGUGAGGAAUAUUGGUCAAUGGGAGCAAUCCUGGAACAGCAAUGCCGCGUGUGGGAUGACAGGGCUCAGCCUUGUAAACCACUGUCGGACGGGACGAGAGGGUGUUUUUGGCACCUGGGACGGUACCGUCAAAGGAAGGGUCGGCUAACUACGUGCCAGCAGCCGCGGUAAUACGUAGGACCCGAGCGUUGUCCGGAUUUACUGGGUAUAAAGGGUGCGCAGGCGGCCGUGUGCGUCAGAGGUGAAAUAUCCGGGCUUAACCCGGAGGGUGCCUUUGAUACGGCAUGGCUUGAGUUCGAGAGAGGGUGAUGGAAUUCCUGGUGUAGCAGUGAAAUGCGUAGAUAUCAGGAGGAACACCGGUGGCGAAGGCGGUCACCUGGCUCGACACUGACGCUCAGGCACGAAAGCGCGGGGAUCAAACAGGAUUAGAUACCCUGGUAGUCCGCGCCCUAAACGAUGUAUGCUUGGUGUUGGAUCUUUCGGGAUUCAGUGCCGUAGGGAAUCUGGUAAGCAUACCACCUGGGGAGUACGAUCGCAAGGUUGAAACUCAAAGGAAUUGACGG